AUGAGGUAGUGAGCUGGUUUCUAUGGCAGCACAGGGAAGUAGGCUCUCAGAAUAGUUAAUACUCAGAGGAGGUGGGACACUCUAUAGCUUAUUCAUGCCCUCAUUAUAUACCUACAUGACUUUUCCUGAAAGUCUCUCAGCAAGGCCCAGAUAAGGCCUAUGGGCCCAAGUUUCUAACAACAAAAUCGUCUUGUUUAUGGACAGCAACAAGUCCCAAGAAGCAACAUAAACUUAGAAAGAUGGGAAUGACACCUGAGGGAGAAACUCAGAAUGAGGACAACAUACAGACAACACAGACCAAGAUUCUAUUAGGCGCUGAUGCCCAGUUAUUGGCACUACAAAUGUCAGCCAGAGAAGGUUUGGAACAUGCAAACAGAACCAAAGAGAAGAUCUCUAAACUCAACCAAGUGAUUAGGAAGCAGUGGAAUGAUAUUGAGCUGGUAAAAUCCCGGUGUUGGGAGCUCCAGGACUCCAUUAAUACCACCAAACGACUUGAGAGGAUAUCCCUCAAUGUCACUUGGAGCAAACUAUCUGAGCUGGAAAAUGAUUUGGAGAAGGCUAAAGAAGAUGCUUUCCGGCACCUCAGGAGAUUCCAGUUGAGUGCAAAUCAAAAGACCACCUAUGAGAAGAAAAGAGAAAAUGAGCAGAACAGGUGUCUGCAUCCUGAUUUUUUUCUUGGAUCAGGGGCUCCUUUUCUGGGAAUGACAAAACUUAAUUCUCCCUCUGGUUUUCCCACUAGGAUGCUCAACUUCUCCCCAAUCAACAUCUAUGCAAAUCCCUAUGCUGAGGCCUUAGCAGCAUUAGAGGCGAUGACCGUUGCUGAACCCGAGAACUCUCCUGAAAUCAAAGAUGACAUCACUGCUAGUUCUAAAAGUGAAGAUUCUGUUAAAGAUUUGGCUGGAUCAGAAACAUACACGAGUGACUUUGAGGCAGGAGGGACAGAGAAAAGCCAGGAGGAGGAGAGUGUAUCUACUUCACUAGAGCAGUCAGAGUAUAGUGUUGAUAGCACCUUUGGGAGAACUGAAACGAGUAGAAAUGACUCCGGGAGCAGAACCAGUGAUAGCUCUUCAAAAUGUAGUGAAUCUAGUGAGAAUGAAUCAGAAAGUGAAGUUAGUGAAAAUUCUUCUGAAGUCAAAAUCAGUGAUCAUGAAUUAGAAGAUGUUAGAGCCAGUGAGAACCAGAGUCCCUCGGAAGUGAGAAUUAUGGGGAAUAACUUAGGAAUUAAAAGCAGUAAGGAUUCCCCAGAAAUCAAAUGCCCUCAGAGUCUCCCAGGAAUUAAAAACAUUAAGGGUAGCUCUAUAAAAUGCAAUGGGAACACCUGGAGAUUCAAAAGUAACAAGAUCUCUCCAAGUGCCAAAAUUAGCAAAAAUGACUCAGGCCUCAAAAAUAAGAGCGGCUGCCCAGGAAGCGGAUACAGUGAGAACUCUUUGGGAACCAAAAUCAGGAGGAGCCCCUCCGGAAUCAAAGUCAAUGAGAAUCUCUCUGAAGUUAAACUAAGUGACAGCCCCCUAGUCAAAAUCAAUGGGAUCCCUUCAAAAACCAAAGUUAAUGAGAGCCCCUUGGAAGCCAAAAGUAGUGGAAGUGACUUGGGGGUCAAGAGUUGUAAGGACAGCUCAGUCAAAUCCAGUAAGAGUCCUCCAGGAGUCAAAUGUGGGAAAGUUAAGGCUGGUGGGAGCCUUUCAGGAGUUAAACACAAUGGGAGUCCCCCAGAAACCAAACAAAACGGGAGUGUCUCAGGAGCCAAACAAAAUGAGAGCCCCUCGGGUGUUACAAAAACUGGGAAUCCUCUAAUUGUCAAAGCUGGUGGAAGCCCUGUAAGAACCAAAUACAGAGAGAAUGUGUCUAGAACCAGAGAGAAUGGGUAUUCCUUGGGAGGCAGACAAAGUGAGCGGAUUUCAGGAGUCAAGCAGAGAGAGAGAGUUUCAGGAGUUAACAGAAAUGAAUCCUCCUCAGGAUCCAAACGCAGGGAGAGGCCUUCAAGGGCCAGAGUUAAUGGGAGCUCCUUGGGAGGCAAAAUGAACAAGAAGCCCUCUGGAGCCAAAGGCUGUAAAAGCCCCCCUGGAGCCAGAAGUCAGGACAGCUCCUCGGAGGGCAAAUCUGGUGGGAGCCUCUCAGAAGUAGUCAGUGGCAACGACUCAGACGCCAAACGCAGCAGCAGCAGCUCCUUGGAAGAGAACACUACAACCAAGACUAACAAGAAUAGUGCCAUGGGCCCAAGUGUACAAAAGACUCAUUCAAAAUAAGAGAGGACACAAAGCAAAAAUCCCUCGCCUGUCUCUGUUACAAAGUCAUUCUUUGUGACUUUCAUCAGACCCUUUCCUUUGACAGAUUUUUGGUCGUUUCAGCUGAAGCCAGAUAUGAAAAUCAAAUGACGAAACAGACAAGGGAAGAAAAUAAGCUUGUAAUGCUCAAGUGGGAUCCUUCAUUGGUACACGUACAAUCAACACUUCCUUCUACACUGAAGAAAGGAAAAACAGUCUUUUGUCAUCCUUCAGUUAUUAUCUUUCAGACUCAAGGAAUAUCCUGGUGAUAGUAGAAAGAGAAUGUAUUGC
rnacentral:lncRNA from 1 species